rnacentral:rRNA from 1 species
ACACUCCUACGGGAGGCAGCAGUGGGGAAUAUUGGACAAUGGGCGCAAGCCUGAUCCAGCCAUGCCGCGUGAGUGAUGAAGGCCCUAGGGUUGUAAAGCUCUUUCACCGGUGAAGAUAAUGACGGUAACCGGAGAAGAAGCCCCGGCUAACUUCGUGCCAGCAGCCGCGGUAAUACGAAGGGGGCUAGCGUUGUUCGGAUUUACUGGGCGUAAAGCGCACGUAGGCGGACUAUUAAGUCAGGGGUGAAAUCCCGGGGCUCAACCCCGGAACUGCCUUUGAUACUGGUAGUCUUGAGUUCGAGAGAGGUGAGUGGAAUUCCGGGUGUAGAGGUGAAAUUCGUAGAUAUUCGGAGGAACACCAGUGGCGAAGGCGGCUCACUGGCUCGAAACUGACGCUGAGGUGCGAAAGUGUGGGGAGCAAACAGGAUUAGAAACCCCUGUAGUCCCAUG